UUCCUCAUCAACCGGAAGGAAUUCCUUCCGGUUGAUGAGUUCAAUCUUCCUCAUCAACCGGAAGGGAUCCCUUCCGGUUGAUGAGGGA
rnacentral:miRNA from 1 species